rnacentral:rRNA from 1 species
AUUGAACGCUGGCGGCAGGCCUAACACAUGCAAGUCGAGCGGAGGAAGGGAGCUUGCUCCUGGAUUCAGCGUCGGACGGGGGAGUAAUGCCUAGGAAUCUGCCUGGUAGUGGGGGAUAACGUCCGGAAACGGGCGCUAAUACCGCAUACGUCCUGAGGGAGUAAGUUGGGGAUCUUCGGACCUCACGCUAUCAGAUGAGCCUAGGUCGGAUUAGCUAGUUGGUGGGGUAAAGGCCUACCAAGGCGACGAUCCGUAACUGGUCUGAGAGGAUGAUCAGUCACACUGGAACUGAGAAACGGUCCAGACUCCUACGGGAGGCAGCAGUGGGGAAUAUUGGACAAUGGGCGAAAGCCUGAUCCAGCCAUGCCGCGUGUGUGAAGAAGGUCUUCGGAUUGUAAAGCACUUUAAGUUGGGAGGAAGGGCAGUAAGUUAAUACCUUGCUGUUUUGACGUUACCAACAGAAUAAGCACCGGCUAACUUCGUG